rnacentral:tRNA from 1 species
GCGGGUGUCGUACAAUGGUAGUACGUGAGCUUCCCAAGCUCGAGACGUGGGUUCGAUUCCCAUCACCCGCUCCA